GUGCUUAUGUCAUAUGUUAAAGAAUGAUAUGUGAAAACCGAUUGUGCUAUUUCUUAGAGUGCAUAUGUGAAAAUCUUUCAAUUGACAGCAUGGAGAGUUCAUGGCCUCUGCCAUCUGCGUUGGCUUCUGUAACUCAUAAACUGAACCUUGAAAAUUGAUUCAAAUCACCUUCAUGGCCGAGAGGUCGUUGGGUGCGCUGAGCAUGGACACACCCAGUUAUUUUUUGGGUUAAACAAAAAGCUUUCAGUUUGCCAUCAAUGCCUUUUGUAAGUACCAAUGUUUUUUGUUCCGAUUUUCAGUGUCUUCUUAUAAAGAUGAAGAUUUAAAAUGUUGGAUACUUUUGAGUAUAUCAGGGUUGGAAAUUCACGAGAUUCCAUUAAAAGUCACCGCCGCUUGAUUUUGGAAAGCUAUCAAUAUCUGAUGCUUCUCCGAUAAUAGUGCACGAACUGAAGAUUACGAAGAUUCUUGUACGACAUGCGGAGGCAGUUAAUAGCAGACUUUUUGUGCCUAAUCCAUCUCAUGAUUUGAAAUCUAAAGAGAAAAAUGAAGAGGGAAGACGCAAAUUAAGACUGUGAAAGUAUGUUCUCAUCUCCCUCUCUC